rnacentral:rRNA from 1 species
GCUUGCUCACGGGCUUUCUAUCAUAUCCAUAACACCUGUGCACUUGUUGGAUGUCUAGAGACGUAAAGUCGACAGUCAUCCACUUACACUAAACAAUAAUGUAACAAAUGUAGUCUUAUUAUAACAAAAUAAAACUUUCAACAACGGAUCUCUUGGCUCUCGCAUCGAUGAAGAACGCAGCGAAAUGCGAUAAGUAAUGUGAAUUGCAGAAUUCAGUGAAUCAUCGAAUCUUUGAACGCACCUUGCGCUCCUUGGUAUUCCGAGGAGCAUGCCUGUUUGAGUGUCAUGAAAACCCUCAACCUUAGAUUGGUUAUUUGACCUUUCUUUGGCUUGGAUUUGGACGUUUGCCGAUGUCAAGUCGGCUCGUCUUAAAAGUAAUAGCUGGAUCUGUCUCGCGACAUGGUUUGACUUGGCGUAAUAAGUAUUUCGCUAAGGACAUCUUCGGAUGGCCCUGUUGCAGGACUAAAGACCGCUUUCUAAUCCAUUGAUCUUCGGAUUAAUAUUCAUAACAUCUGGCCUCAAAUCAGGUAGGACUACCCGCUGAACUUAAGCAUAUCAAUAAGCGGAGGAA